rnacentral:tRNA from 1 species
CGGGGUGUAGCGCAGUCUGGUAGCGCACCUGCUUUGGGAGCAGGGGGUCGGAGGUUCAAAUCCUCUCGCCCCGA